GUGAGGAAUAUUGGACAAUGGGCGCAAGCCUGAUCCAGCCAUGCCGCGUGCAGGAAGACGCAUCUAUGGUGUGUAAACUGCUUUUGUACGGGAAGAAACACUCCCUCGUGAGGGAGCUUGACGGUACCGUAAGAAUAAGGAUCGGCUAACUCCGUGCCAGCAGCCGCGGUAAUACGGAGGAUCCAAGCGUUAUCCGGAAUCAUUGGGUUUAAAGGGUCCGUAGGCGGUUUAAUAAGUCAGUGGUGAAAGCCCAUCGCUCAACGAUGGAACGGCCAUUGAUACUGUUAGACUUGAAUUACAAGGAAGUAACUAGAAUAUGUAGUGUAGCGGUGAAAUGCUUAGAUAUUACAUGGAAUACCAAUUGCGAAGGCAGGUUACUACUUGUGGAUUGACGCUGAUGGACGAAAGCGUGGGGAGCGAACAGGAUUAGAAACCGUGUAGUCC
rnacentral:rRNA from 1 species